rnacentral:rRNA from 1 species
CCUACGGGCUCUGCAGUGGGGAAUAUUGGACAAUGGGCGAAAGCCUGAUCCAGCCAUGCCGCGUGUGUGAAGAAGGCCUUCGGGUUGUAAAGCACUUUCAGUGGGGAAGAAAGCCUUGGGGCUAAUACCCUCGAGGAAGGACAUCACCCACAGAAGAAGCACCGGCUAACUCCGUGCCAGCAGCCGCGGUAAUACGGAGGGUGCGAGCGUUAAUCGGAAUUACUGGGCGUAAAGCGCGCGUAGGCGGUCUGAUAAGCCGGUUGUGAAAGCCCCGGGCUCAACCUGGGAACGGCAUCCGGAACUGUCAGGCUAGAGUGCAGGAGAGGAAGGUAGAAUUCCCGGUGUAGCGGUGAAAUGCGUAGAGAUCGGGAGGAAUACCAGUGGCGAAGGCGGCCUUCUGGACUGACACUGACGCUGAGGUGCGAAAGCGUGGGUAGCAAACAGGAUUAGAUACCCGGGUAGUC